CGCUUUUUGGCAAUCACGUCGCGACAUGUUACUGUUCUUAUUAACUGAUCAACAGUGAUGCGUAUAUCAAGUACGUCUUACAAGUGUAUAUUACGAGUGCGUAUUAGAGUGUCUCUCCGCACAAGAAAAGGAAAAGAUCCAUUUUUGUCUACUUGCCUUCUACGUUUCAACUUUCUACAAGAAAGGUGCGCAUGUGAACGUGAUACGUUGCAAUAUCAUUUCUACAAGACUGAAG